UACAGAGGUCUCGAGCGUUAGGCGGAAUCACUGGGCUUAAAGCGUGUGUAGGCGGAUCGUUAAGUACCUUGUGAAAUCCCGCGGCUUAACCGUGGAACUGCUUGGUAUACUGGCGGUCUUGAGCCAGCUAGGGGCUACCGGAACAAAUGGUGGAGCGGUGAAAUGCGUAGAUAUCAUUUGGAACGCCAAUGGUGAAAACAGGUAGCUGGGGCUGUGCUGACGCUGAGACACGAAAGCCAGGGGAGCAAACGGG
rnacentral:rRNA from 1 species